rnacentral:rRNA from 1 species
GAUGAACGCUGGCGGCGUGCCUAAUACAUGCAAGUCGAGCGAACGGACGAGAAGCUUGCUUCUCUGAUGUUAGCGGCGGACGGGUGAGUAACACGUGAAUAACCUACCUAUAAGACUGAGAUAACUUCGAGAAACCGGAGCUAAUACCGGAUAAUCUUUUGAACCGCAUGGUGCAAAAGUGAAAGACGGUCUUGCUGUCACUUAUAGAUGGAUCCGCGCUGCAUUAGCUAGUUGUUAAGGGAACGGCUUACCAAGGCAACGAUGCAUAGCCGACCUGAGAGUGUGAUCGGCGACACUGGAACUGAGACACGGUCCAGACCCCGACGGGAGGCAGCAGUAGGGAAUCUUCCGCAAUGGGAGAAAGCCGGACGCAGCAACGCCGCGUGAGUGAUGAAGGUCUUCGGAUCGUAAUACUCUGUUACUAGGGAAGAACAGAUGUGUACGUAACUGUGCACAUCGUGACGGUACCUAAACAGAAAGCCCCGGCUAACUACGUG